GGUCUAGAGAGAGGAAGCAGGCUUAUCAAGUGGAAUUGGAGUCCUUGGCAGUGAGGCUAGAGGAGGAGAAUGAGCGAUUGCUGAAUGAGAAGGAAGAGAGGACUAAAGAAAGGUUCAAGCAGGUAUUAAUAUUAUUUUGAUGUUACUUGUCUUUUGGAAAUAUGGAGAAUGCUUACAAUUUGAUUAGGUUAGAUUUUUCAGAAUAAUAAUGAUAAUAAAUAAAUAAAGACAGUAAAACCAGGUUCUAGUUUAUAACUAACUGAGAUGAAGGAAUAGCUAAACUUCUGGAUUAUUAGGCAUUGACCAUAAAAACAAAUUUAGAUGCAUGAAAAAAGGAGAAGGAAGCCUAGCAUAAUUUAACUUUCAGAGGAUAUUGUUUUCAAUUCAGAUUUUUUUUUGUCUAUCAUAGAGGUGCUAUGCAUUCUUUCUAAUUUAAGACCAAACAAAAAGGAUUUUGGUUAUGGUUCUCCUUGCAAUGGUGUGGGCUUGUGACUGAGUGACUGGCGUACAAAAGGAGGAUGCGUUUGUGCGUGGAACUUUCGAUAUGAAUAUAUGGAAAUAAAUAUUUAUCAACAAUUGAAAGGUGUCUAAAUUUCAUUAAAAAAAAAAAAAAGAAGGUAUGAAUUUCAGUAACAUAUUUUUACUGAGAAAUAUAUGGACUCUUUAAGGAUACAACUUGGGACCUUUCCCAUGUUAUGUAAUUCUGUGACAGAAGUUCUAUUUAAUGUACCAACCAGAAGCAAAGACUACUUCCUUUUAAAAAACUGAAGGACAGAUCACACAGAAUUUACCUAGAAGCAUAGACUGUCUUUUUUUUUUUUGGGCAAAUUGAAGGACAAAGUCAUUUGGAAUUUCAAUUGCAUUUAUAAGGUGCCAUUUUUUACUUUUUCUUGGUUGAAAAUAUCUAAGAUCAAAAAGGAUGGUGGGAUUAUCUUUUGUUUCUGAUGUAGAUGUACUGAACUUAGAGACUGAAGGGAAGAUCUAGAUUUCUUUAGCAUAACAGGUCCUACACUCCUACUAAAAUUGGCCGGUACAAGAUUGAAUUCAUUUUGAUGCCUCUUUCUGAAUGAGUUUCCAUUUUACUUGGUAGGUUUUGAGAGUUCCUGUAGAUGGACAUUACAUCUGAAAGCAAGUCCUUCGUGUUUUGUUUUGUUACAUAAAAGGAUGAGAGAUCCCUCAAGAUUCUGAACCAUAAAACUUUUAGAGCUUUUUUAGUUUAAGAAAGUGUGGAUUAAUCAGUGUUUAAUAAUUUUUAAGAGGGAAAAUGAAAUUUGUACACUUCUAACUGAAUGUUGCUGAGGUAACCAGAUUCAUAAAGCAUGAAAUGCAGGAAAUAAGCAAAUCACUUUCAAUACUGAAAUGUUGGUUGAAUCGUUUCUCCUUUCUUUAUCAUGUGGAUAUGAAAGGAAAUUUGGUAAUCAAAGUCUCGACUUCCAAUUAUUCUUACACAAGCAACUUGUAACUGCAGUAAACAAAUUUUCUGUGAUGAGUUUGAAAGAAAAUAUUUAAAUGAGUUGCAACGAAGUAUAUUAUCUUUAUUUUUGGUGGUUACAAACAUUUUCUUUAGAAUUGUAGGGUUCAAAAAAAAAAAAAGAAUUGGUUCAAUCAUUACAUUUGUAAUGGGUUUGAGUUCACCCAAAACCUCCCAUCGAAGAACCACAUAAAGAAAGAAAAGAAUUGUUGGUAAAUACAAUAUGUGUUAUGGCGUGAAGGUCUUCAAGUUGUGUUGUGCAUAAGAUCUGAGAUUUCCUGGUCCAACUAUAUAUGUUAUAAAGAGAGCAGCCAACUUGUGUUUCACCUGACAAAGUUAACAAGAAUAAAGUUUUAAAGAUGAAUGGAACUGGAGGCAGGACUUGAGAACAAGGGUAAAAUGUCCAAUUAUUAUUUUUUUCAUUGUUUGUCUCAAACACUUCCCCAUAUAUAUUUUCAGAGUGUAAACUUGAGGAAAAGAACGAGGAAAAUGGUAACUUGUUUAAACAUGGUUCCAUGGAUAUGACCAUGUAUGCAAGCAAGAAAAUUGUUAGAGAGGAGACGAGGGAAAAAUGGGUUAGUAAAGCAUAAACCAUUGACUUAUCAGUUGUUUUUUCCCCUGCAGCUUAUGGAGAAAGUGGUGCCUGUUGUUGAGAAGAGAAGACCACCCCGAAGGCUUCGGAGAGUUCAGUCCUUGCAGUGGUAAGAUUGUAUGUGCGCAGGGCGUGAGAUGAAAGACAAACCUUUUGCUGAUGUGGAGAGUAAAUCAAAAGCAGUAUUGUUGGUAAAUUUCAUUUUCUUUUAAAUUAGGUUUUUGAGCCCGAUUGUUGUCUAAGAGCAAUCGCAGUUCUUAAAUUAAUUGGGGAAAAAAAAAUAACAUGAAUCAUGGAAGGAAAAUCCCUUGUUUAACUGAAUUUAGGGAAGGAUCCAUCACAGGAAGAUGGAUGUUAGAAGGUAGUUAUCUAGUUUGCAGGUGGAGCAAUGCAAAACUUAGUGCCUCCCGAUUGCUUAAAGAAAAGGGAAAGAAAUUCAAAAUUCUGGACCGGCUCAAGUGUUGGCAACUUAUGAUAGCUCUUAAUACAAAAUAUAGAUUGUUGGAUGGUAACUAUUUAUGGUAAAGUUCAUGCUGCAUUAAUUUCCUGAAAAAAUUGGUGCAUGUGUCAUCGCUGAUGUGAACUGAAGCUGUCUUGUUGGAGCAUCUCUCUCACUCUCUCUCAAUCCUGUGAUGAUGGCGAUAUCAUGAUGUAAGAAAUGGUCCUUUGGUAGCGCAUUGUAUAAAAAUUGCGUGCUGCGUAUUCUGCACGCUCAAGGGUAUUGUUAAAAAAAUGACACUGCUUGUAAUCAUUCCAACUAGUGAAUUGAAUUGAGGCUAUCAUCAGCAACUUUAAAUUCUCGUAAUGGAGGAGUAUAUACAGGAGUAUUGCAAAACACGUUCUUUUCCCCGGUACAACUAUUGUUGGUUAUGAUUGUGGCUGCACAAUUCCAAAUGGAGCCAUGCUGAGAGUGUGAAUUUGGAGAAAGGCUUAGAACAGGGGACUGAAUAUCUGUUCGGUAAUUUACAAUUAAGUCCUGGAGGAAUAGUAAAAGCCUACCUAAUAGUAGCAGUUUAGUCAUCGACUUUUAAUUCUAUUAACAAGUGAGUCAUUGUUGUAUAAUUU
rnacentral:misc_RNA from 1 species